rnacentral:rRNA from 1 species
GUAACACGUGGGUGAUCUGCCCUGCACUUCGGGAUAAGCUUGGGAAACUGGGUCUAAUACCGGAUAGGACCAUGGUUUAGCAUCUCAUGGUGGAAAAAUAUUGUUUUGGUGUAGGAUGAGCCCGCGGCCUAUCAGCUUGUUGGUGGGGUAAUGGCCUACCAAGGCGUCGACGGGUAGCCGGCCUGAGAGGGUGGACGGCCACAUUGGGACUGAGAUACGGCCCAGACUCC